rnacentral:rRNA from 1 species
UACGAAGGGGCUAGCGUUGUUCGGAAUUACUGGGCGUAAAGCGCGCGCAGGCGGUCUUCCAAGUCAGUGGUGAAAGCCCGGAGCUCAACUCCGGAACUGCCAUUGAAACUGUUGGACUUGAGUACGAGAGAGGUGAGUGGAAUUCCCAGUGUAGGAGGUGAAAUUCGUAGAUAUUGGGAAGAACACCGGUGGCGAAGGCGGCUCACUGGCUCGUAACUGACGCUCAGGCGCGACAGCGUGGGACGUCGAAACAGG